rnacentral:rRNA from 1 species
CGAACGCUGGCGGCGUGCUUAACACAUGCAAGUCGAACGGAAAGGCCCUGCUUGCAGGGUACUCGAGUGGCGAACGGGUGAGUAACACGUGGGUGAUCUGCCCUGCACUUCGGGAUAAGCCUGGGAAACUGGGUCUAAUACCGGAUAGGAGCCAUUUUUAGUGUGAUGGUUGGAAAGUUUUUUCGGUGUAGGAUGAGCUCGCGGCCUAUCAGCUUGUUGGUGGGGUAAUGGCCUACCAAGGCGGCGACGGGUAGCCGGCCUGAGAGGGUGGACGGCCACAUUGGGACUGAGAUACGGCCCAGACUCCUACGGGAGGCAGCAGUGGGGAAUAUUGCACAAUGGGCGCAAGCCUGAUGCAGCGACGCCGCGUGGGGGAUGACGGCCUUCGGGUUGGAAACUCCUUUCGCUAGGGACGAAGCUUUUUGUGACGGUACCUAGAUAAGAAGCACCGGCUAACUACGUG